rnacentral:rRNA from 1 species
CCUACGGGAGGCUGCAGUCGAGAAUCUUCCGCAAUGGACGCAAGUCUGACGGAGCGACGCCGCGUGCGGGAUGAAGGUCUUUGGAUUGUAAACCGCUGUCACGCGUUAAGAACUCGCAGGACCCAACACGUCCUGCGUUGACGAAGGCGCGAGAGGAAGCCACGGCUAACUCUGUGCCAGCAGCCGCGGUAAUACAGAGGUGGCAAGCGUUGCUCGGUGUUACUGGGCUUAAAGGGUGCGUAGGCUGCGCAGUACGGCUCGGGUGAAAUCCCUCGGCCCAACCGAGGAACAGCCCGGGCGACGGCUGUGCUAGGCAGCAUCAGGGGAAGAUGGAACUCCCGGUGGAGCGGUGAAAUGCGUAGAUAUCGGGAGGAACGCCGAUGGCGAAAGCAAUCUUCUGGGGUGCAUGCGACGCUGAGGCACGAAAGCUAGGGGAGCAAACGGGAUUAGAUACCCCAGUAGUC